AAUACAAGCAGGUUAGAUUUCAAAGGUUAGAAAUGUGUGGGCAGGACAGGGAUUAGCAAGAAUCUUUAGUCUUUGGUGAUUGAGAAGGUUUUCUUAAGAUCCUUUCAGCUCUUCCAAAUGAAUUCCUCGCCAACGGGGGCAGAGGGUGUGUCUUCUGGAUUAGCUCAACCAGAAGUUACAGUUUUGAUGCAGCAAUAUUAAGUGAGAUCCUGCAGAUGACUUGUAAAGAAGGUCAGGCUGGAUUAUGUAGCCAUCUGGUUUUGACAUUCAAGUGUCCUGUGUAAAACUAUUCAUAGCUGUUAAGGUUUGGUUACAAACUGGAUUAUACCCAGGGAAAUUUCAGUAGGCAAAGUAGACUAUGGUUAUGAGCUGUGUUGUAGAAGCCAUAGUUGUACAGUGUAGCUUGGGACUGAAAAUUGUAGAGCUUGAUCAUUGUAACACAGUUUCUUCAUCAUAAAUACUGUGGGGGGGUUAUUGAGUUAUUAGAAACAACAGUAAAAAAACUAAACUUCUUUAAUAGAUACACACCAAAAAUUGCUGUGAAAUUGAGAUGGUCUUUCCUCGUUUGCUAUAUAUAGAGUAAAUCAUGUGUUGAUUAGCAAACUGCUCUACCUACCCCAGUCUUGUCAUAAGUGAGGGCUAUGCAAUAUGAUAGCAUAGCCAGUAAAAACAAAGCUCAUAGUGUGUAUUAUUAUGUUCUAACUGACUUUUUUUUUUAACAUUUUUUUUUUUACUAAAAGCUAUUAGGUUGAAAUUUCUGAGUGAGUUGCUGUCUCUUUUCAAAAUUCACCAAUAAAUCAGCAAUAUGAGACUUUGUAGUAUAUGAAAAUGAGUUCUGUCAAAGAGUUAUUGAUAAACAAGCUCUGAACAUGCUACCAGUAAGAAGAGUCUGGCUCCACAAAAGUUGCCCCAGUUUACCUCAGCACCUGCCUGUCUCAAUUUUCUCUUGGUUGCAAGGAAGGGGAACUUACUCUUUCCAGGCCUGAUGCAGGAAACAAAAGUUCCUCCACUUCAUUUAUAGCACAAGUAAGUGCCUUCUCACUUGUUGCAUAUGAAGUUUCUCAAUGUUUGUCCUGGUUUAGUCCUGUCCGAGCCUGGUCUGAAGUGGGCAGCCUGUGGGAGAAGUCUACCUGCAGUAAGGAAAACGGAGGAGCAACCCCUGACAAAAAUACAAGGAAUACUUCUGGAUUGAGACCUGGAAGAGAAGGUGUAAACAAAACGAAGUUAGGUUUCUGCUGGUAACAGUCACCCAGAUAUGCAUGUGAACAAUCACUGCCAAAAAAGAGGAAAAAAAAAACCACAAAGGAAAUUGUAUAAUCUCACAGCUGCAGAUUUUGACAACUAGUGUUAGCCCUUACUGAAAUCCUUCAGCGAGACAGCGUUAUGCAGUGUCUCAGAAGCAAGUUGCCUGUUUCUGCUUUAUAAAGAUCCAAUAUGAAGAUAACCCUUCAGUGUCACUGAGAACGAAGCAGAGAAAUGUUCUUCAGGACGCUGCUUUUCAGCUGAAAUCCUUUGCUCCAUUGUAUUGUUCCUAACACAACUCUGUGUCCUGAGACAGCAGGAAAGGACCAUCGCUUUUUCUGUGAGCUGCAGAAAGAGAAGAGAAAACUUCCAUCAAAGGAGGCUACACUAAAAGUCAUCACUACUCCAGAAGCAAGACGUGGCCUGCUGCUUCGGUGGCUCAGCAAAGUAAG